rnacentral:rRNA from 1 species
GCUUUACAAAUAUAGAUUAAUUAUUAAUUUGGUUGUGUAACGGAGGUUAGUCCUAUAUUUGUUUAGCUGGGGCGGCUUCAAUAAAAUUUGUAACUGUUAGAAAAAAUGUAUACAUUUAUGUAGAAAAUGAACCUCUAGUGGGGAUUGAAAGAUUAAGUU